CUAGGUAAAGGUCCUCAACAAUUCAUCAGAAUCUGCAUUCAUGAGGACUUGGUAUUAAGCGAGCUCAAAUACUCAGUAAGAUGGGCAAUAUUGAAGGCAUACAAACAUGUUUUGAAAAUAUUUUCUCAAUGAAAAUUUAAAGAAAACAGUGAUAAAAGCGAUAAUUAAAAAACAAUGAUAACAUACUAUUCAAUUAGCAUAAUAACAAUUUUACCAUUAAUGGUGCUCAAUAACGUAUUCAAUGCGUUCAUAUAAUUCACAUACACGCACCCAAAACUAGACACGUCUUGUAACUCAGCUUUAAUAAUAAAUUAUUAUCUUAAUUUUAGUUCCACUAUUUACAAACCUAUGCGUGCAGCCGCUUACACUACUUUCAUGUACCAACUAGCUAAGGAUGGAAGUGCAAUCAAUUAGUAACAAUAAAGACGUAAAUAAAUAUAUAUAAAUCACUCAGUACCCUCUGUUCGUCAUCAAUCAGUUAUCAUUCUAAUCACCAUCGUCCAUAUCUUGAAGGUCCAAGACAUAUACACAAUCGAUUCAUGGCCAUCAACCACUGAACUUGUUUCCAUAAAUGGAACCCAAUAUCACACUCAAAAUCUAGUGAUUUUUCUAUUAUCCUCUAUAUCCCUCCAAGAAAAUCAGUGCAUCAAAUUUAACUAAACAUUAUGUUAUUUAUAUUUUAGACUCUUAAUAAUUUUUUUCUUAAUUUAAUAUGUUAUUUCAUCCUAUCUAUUUUACUAACAUGUAAAAUUAUUAUCAUUAUUUAAUUUCUUGAGUUAUUAUUUAAUUUAUUUAUUAGACUUUUACUAUAGCUCAUUAUAUUAUUUAGAUUAUUUAGAUUUUUAAUUCUAUUUAAAUAUUUUAUUUUAUUCUUGUUUAAUUUUAUUUUAAUUUAUUUAAUCUAAAUUUAAAUUUUACUUAAGUUUUAUUCAAUUUUUUUUUAAAUUUUAUUCGUUACCAAUUCCAUUUUUUAUUCUUACCCAAUUUUAUUUUUUUAUAAUUAAUCAUUUUUUACAAUUCCUUGUCACUUAAGCAUUUUUUUCCAAUUAUUAAAUUUUUUGUUCUUUUUUUUUUUCCAAUAGCCCACUCUUACCCAAGUCUAGCCGAAGAGGAAUGUCCUCAUGCAGGACACAUGACCCAAUGGGCUUCCGUGAAGGCCCCCGACAUAGGAUCAUGUCUAUUAAGCCAACACGACCCGCUGUCCUGUUGCACAGGGCAACCAGCCCAAGGGAACAGACGUGUGCAGAGGUACACUAUGGGGUCCUUGUUUUGGCAAACUUAGGUACUCGAAUACUCUUAAUUCUCUUUUGCUUGGCAUAUGCGCAUUGACAAACUGCUAGAUGCGGUUACAGGUUAUUCAUUUAGACCUAGGAUCCAUCUCUUUCACGUGUCAGCAUAGGAGAAACUGUGAAGCAUAUUUUGAUGUCCGGACGCUUAACAGAGGUUAAUGGCCUCAGUGUUCUGCCUCUCUUCUUCUCUUUUCUGAUUUUAAGAUGUUCAUCAUCAUCAAUUACAUUCAAACAUAACAAAAACAUAUUAAAUACAUUUAAAACAGAUUACAUAAUUAUCAAGCACAAGGUGAACACACUCACCCUUUUUCCAUUUAGAAAUUCACUUCCUUUAUGCAUUUUUAGAGAACACAUCCCAUGAAAUGCAAUCUAGAUGUCAUCUUUGUAUGACUAAACUAUUACGCAUCUUACCGCAAAACGUAGCAACAACAAGCCAAAGAUCACAAGAAAAUGUUGGAUUGACAGCUUGAAGAAUAGUUCUGCAAUAUGUGCAACAGUUGUAGAAAGUGAGAUUAAUUUCUAGUUUCCUACAGUGUUUAGCUUUGUCUAAUUGAUUUCUAACAAAUCCCUAAUAUCCUAUUAUGAUUCUAGGUUACAUAAGGCUCAUUAGAUUAAUUAAAUGGAAGAGGAAAAUAGACGGACAGUGGCAUACCUGCUCGGUCUGUGAUUUCUGGAAAUAUUGCAGAAAAUGAGCUUCGGUCAAAGCCUUCUGCAAAAUCUGGAGUCCUAAGGUUAUUAAGAAACGUGUUUAAGUGUGAAAGAAGAGUGGAAGAAUACAAUUUAGGGAAAAAAGAAGCUUAUGUUAAAUAGAAACCAAGUUUUGGACUCCCAAUCUCACUCGCACACUCACACGUUCUGUUUUCGCAAAUUUCCGCACCACCAAAGCUUUUAAUUUCUCUCAACUCAAGGUUUUCGUGUUGGUUUGUUUGUUGGUAGAAGAAAUGAUGAAAAAGCUAUGCUGUAGAAGAAAACUUAAGGGAAAAGUUCAAUUAAUCCAAGCCUUCAUUCACAUGCAGCCUCUCCUAAUUGAAGAUGUAAGGACAUGACCGACAGCGUACCAUAGAGUGGAGCUGAAGCUUCGACAUCUGGCCUGUCAAAAGCUUGUCCCAGCCAGCUAGUUGAGGCACUAACACCAUUCGGUGUAGUGGUAUCACAUCAUACCAGGCCGAAGUGGCCACUAGCGGGCUUGCGUUGUUUCCCCCCAUUUGGGUUGUAUG
rnacentral:lncRNA from 1 species